rnacentral:lncRNA from 1 species
CGCAAUAUAAAAGCAAGGCAACCUCCGAAAGACUACCUAUCCAAUUAGCCUAAAGGAUUGUGAAAAUAAACAGAAUAGGCAUAAAUGGUCAUUUCAGUUACAAUCUGAUAUCAGAAUAAAGGCUUUUCAGACAAAUUCCCUAUUCAUCAAAGAGCAAAGGCUUCACCUUCAUAGACCAUUUAUUUCUCCACAAGCAAAUUAGAGUUAGAACAGAAAUGAGAACAAAACAUGGACAUAAAAAUGAAUUGUAUAAGAACUUACCACCGAAACAAGGCUGCAAGAAGCAAACAAUGAAGAUGAAGAGAAUGGAGGCUCCCUAGGCUUCUUUUCCUUCUGAUUGCCAGCAACAGAUCCAAAACUGGAAGGUGUAACAUCAUCAUCAUCAUCCUCUUCCUCUUCCUCUUCCUCUCCGUCUUCCUCUUCAUCCACAACUUUGUCAACAUCAUCUUUGGGAAUGGCUUUGUCCUCUAGGUUAGCCACCACAGAAGUAUCUUCAUCCUCCAGCAAUCCCAUUUCCAUCUUCUUCUCCUCCUCUUUUUCUUUCUUCUUUAGUUCUUCAUCCAUGUCCUCAAUGGCCUCUUCUAAACACAGUUCAGCCUCUAUAAGAUCAAGUUCCUUUUCAAUAAGCUUCAUCUUCAACUCACCAGCCUUCUUCUUCUCUUCAGUCCACUUUUCUAGUUUAUCAAAUCCUGGCUUCAACGCAUUUUCUAUUGCCGUUAUUAGACGCUUCCAUAUAUUAUCCCUUUUUUGAAUCACUUCCCGUCCAUAGAACUCAUCAAAUCCAAGGGGCAGGAACUUAGCCUUCUUUGGAUCAAUCUCUUCACCUUCUUUCACAGGUGGCUGCCAAAAUAAUCGGACACCAUGUUCCUCAUCCUCAAUGUAAUUGAUCAAUCGUCCAGUUGGGGUAUGCAAAAUGAGUGGGUCUUCAGUAUAUAUUAGCUUUGACGGAUCUUCAGGAUCAGGUUCCGGUUCUUUGUUGAUAAGUACAAAUUCAGGAGUCUCAUCUGAUCAAGAAAAUGUAAACAUCCAUUUAAAAAAACCAAAAAAGAAAAAGAAUUCUUGAUAUCACUUUCAGAGACUAAGAAAUAAUAAAUGAAGCGAAUAAAGAAUACCUUUCGACCACCAAUAUUCAAGCUCUGCAGGCAUUGGUAACCUAAGGGGAGCUUUAUAAAAUGAGUUUAGCCACAUUUCUCUUUCCUGAUCAACUUCAUGCACGUAUGUCUUCCAAUAAUCAGGAACCUGCCAAGUGCCAACUAACAUACUUAUUUUCUCUUCCUUUUCAUUAUUAAUGGAAGAAUCCACCAUGCAAAAGAAAAGCUUUUACUUACUUCGUAGAACUGAUUGAUAAAACCUGGUGCCAUCCACACAUCUUCCUCCUCAUAGAAAUAGGGAUGUUGAGGAUCACCAUAAGGACCUCUCUCUUCCCUAACCACUAUACGUGCAAGUCAAGAUUAUAUAAGGUUAAUGUUUAAAAUUGUUAGUGAUUAAUGUAAAAAGGCAUAGGGAUUAGGGAUUCCAAAGUACCAUGUAGAGGGUAAAUCCAACAGAAAAAGUCAUGCAUUCAAAUUUCAGAUAAAUUAUACAGAACAGUCAUCAAGAGGCUCCAUGAAUCUCCAAAGAGCUUCCUUUUGCACCCAAUAAACAGAUAAGCAGAAGACUUCAAGGGAGGUUUAGCAUCGAUAACUUAUAGGCCAUAUUCAUCUCUAAAUAUAAGAAUCUACAACUUCAUCACAAGUCAAAACGUUGACUUAUCCAGUUACCACAAGGUACAAAGUUCAGCCACUUCUAUUUUCCUUUUAGUUUUCCUCUCUUUCUGUUUCUUACUUGAGCAGAGCUCUACAACCAUGACCUAUAUAGCACAAGCUUGAACAUUGGUUGGCAUGAUUGACACUAGCAGACAGAACUCUUGUGUCAACCAUAACAGAUGCUUAUAGGGACAAUUAUAAGAGAAUUAUGUCAAAUAUACCUUAUGUAUUUUUGUCGAAGAAAUUUGCAGUGUUGAGAACGUGGGAAUAGGACCAAGUCACUGGGUGAUUAACAGCAACCCUGGAAGCGAUGGCCUUCCCUUUAUCACUAUUCCUAGAACAACCUAUGGUGAUUGAUGAUCAACUCAUCGAAGGGAGACUGAAACCUUUAGGGCUCAUUUAGAGAGAGACCUAGAUCUCUUAAAAAAUAGAUAGAAAUUCUGCUUAUGUUUUUAUUCUCCAAUAAGUCCUUAAAUAGGGAUUAAUUACAUAAAACUAUGUUUCUAGUAGGAAAUAAAACAACUAAAUCCUAAUAAUGAAAAAUAGCUUAAAAUAAACUAAACCCAAAGUAAAAGUAACGUAAAAUAAGAAGUAAAUAAUUUUACUUUAAAGACUUAAACGGAUGCCUUUUUCCUCUUAUAUAUGCAACCAGUAAAAGUGUCCACAACACACAGAGAUCUAUCAUGUUUCUAUGUAUAAAAUCAUAGAAGUUACUGUGUCAAACAAGAUUUUGUGCCUAUACAAAUCUAAUAGUUAAUAAAGCAAGACUACAUACUUCCAUCUGGCUUAUUAACAAACAUUCGAGCCUUAGCAGCAGCAACCUCUGCAAUACCAGCAUGCAUCUGAAAAAAUACAAUGUCAGAGAAAUACCAUAAUAUAGAAUUUACUCCCCCCCCCCCCCCUCCCAACUUCAUUUUGAACUAUUUAUUAAGUAGGAAAAAAUCUAAAAAUACCGCUGAAAUGUUCUCAUCGCAACCAUCUAAAUCAUCCAAUAGCUCUCCAAAAUAGAAUCUACCCUGCACCAUUACAAAUUUAAUGGAACACAAAAGCAGUCAAGCACUUUUAUAAGAGAGUUUGAGUAGCUGAAAUGGUUCAUACAACAAGUAAAGAAUAAUAUAUUAUGUGUGUGUAUAUAUAUAGUAUCAACCACCAACCAAAUUGAUCGAUGAAUGUGUUGCAUUCUCUUAAAAACAUUAUAUCUUAGCAUCUUUCUUUUGAAAAAUUUUGAAUAAAUUUUCUAUUUUUCAACUAUUAUGUUACUAGAAAGCAUUAUUUUUAAAGAAAACUGAGGUCUAUAAAGUAGAGGGCAAAACUGAGCUGCAGCAACAACUAUUGAAUCUUAUGUACACUACAUCUUCAUGGAAGAAAUGGAUUCAAUUACACAAAUUGAGACUCAAACAAAAUGGUUUAUAUUUUAAGCACAUACAUAGAUGGUGCGCUCAUUGACCUCAUAUACACCACACCCAUGCAUUCUGCCAUGCUUCCACUGGCCAGCAUAACGGUAUCGACCCUUCUCCCUGAAACAGAAAUGUUUGUCUUAAUAACACCACAAACUGAGAUAUAUGCCUGCUAAAGUCUCAAAAGUUUGGCAGAAAAAGGUACAAGUGCCUCGCAUGAUACAACGUAAAUGCUCAAUAUGUGCACGUGCAGAUUGGACCAUUGAGUAGAUUAGGAAAAGCAACAUGCACAUGAUCAAAAAUUAAAAUGAGGCAGAUUCAAAUGCAAUGACGACAAUAAUAAGACAGAAAGAAAUAGAAUAUUUGAUAAAGAAACAUACGGUUUUCUGCCAAAAUGUUUGAUCCAUAUAUCACUCUCAUAAAAUGGUAUUUCAUAUUGCCCAUCCGCCAGGCGAAUGCUAUCCUCAACAUCCAUCUCUAACCAUUCUCUAUCUUCUGGAGUCAUGAAAUCUCUUGAUAUUAUUUUCCCUUCAGCUCGCAUUUUUGCUUCAAGCCUAGCAAAAUGGGAAAAUUCCAACUUCGUUGUAUCAUUUAUAAAUCCAUUGCUGAGAUUGUGAAACCUAUGCUAUAACAAACUGCAUCAUAAAUAGUUCACAAAUUGUUACAUACUUGGAACCUGGCACAGGUUCAAUAUCAGGUAUAUCAACUUCAACAACCCCAUGACCUUCCAUGUUGUUUUGCAGCCAUUCACCUUCAUACCUAUAAAAGGAAGCAUCUUGUAAUUUUUUUUUCAGCUCAAAAGUACUUGAUGCAACACAUUAGUCCAAUACAGAACAAUUUAUGGAACCAUAAAAGAGAGGAAAAUGAAAUAUUCAAAGAGCACUCUCAGGGUUGAAUAAUGCAAACGUGAUCAUUUCAAUCCUGCCAAUGUUAUCAAGGGCACAAGGUGCACUCAAGUCACUAGAGCCAAGCAGGUAAGGAAUUUGAUAUUGUCCACUUUUUUAUCAAUAAUAAUAAUAAUAAUAAUAAAAGAAAUGCAAGAGUACUUCAAUUGGGCAAGCUUCUAUUUGCACCUACCGCCGUACAAGAAAGCACACCUAGGUGCACCAGCCACCAGGUAUGUGACUGAUCUAAUGUGCCUUGCCCGAAAGGGUCUCAUUGCUUCUAUAACCUAGCACCUCAGUGCUUGACAUCGCUGACUCCUACAACUACAAACAAUCUUAUCUGCAUAUUUAAGGAUCCUUUGAUCCAGGAUGGUACGAGAACAUAUGUAUGAAGAAAGCAGAAAACAGCAUUAUGAUAAAGUGAAGAGAUACACAUACACAAGAAAUCAAGACUGAAGUGUCAAGCAUUGACAAACCUGACCAGCCCCUGUUCUGCAACAUAAACACCUUUGCCAUGAGCCAAAUCAUCCCAAACCGUGCCUUCAUACCUUAAACAAAAUGCAGAAUGACUAUAAUGAGUAAUCAAACAAGUCAAAGCAAAACCAGAAUCAGGCAUACCGUUACCCGGAACUUCAAACAUGUCAAAAGCAAACUACUGGAUUAAAAACGAGUGGAGGACUGACUUUCAACAUAAAGCCACAAUUUUGCUUCGUGCAAUUGACCAAGUUCAAACUUAUCCAAAUGCACAUUUAGCUACCUCAUUUACAAACUCCCCAGUCCUAAAUAAACUACCAUACUGCAAUAAAGUUGCAUACCUUAACAAGACAAAUAGUAACAAAAUGAGGGGAAAAGAGUAAGAGAGAGAGUCGGUUUAACAUACGAGCUUCCAUCAGGGAAAAUGUAGCUGACCCAAUUGAGAAACUCCUCAAUCCUAUCCAACUCUUCAAUAACUGCUUUGGGGUUCGAAAUAUCAUAAUGAUUGUCCGGUAUAGCCGGAUAAGGCUUCCGAUAAGGAACAUAAAACGGGGCAAUCCCCGGGUCCCGGCCCUCCUUAAUCUCAUCCCUAACAAUUUUCCAAUCUUCCUCAUCAGCCCAAACAGGGUCCCAACCGGGUUUGGUCAUCUCCAGAGGAGCAUCCACCCAAUACUCCUUCAAAUCCUCUUCCCGCCAAUUCUCGGGGUCUGGUGGAAAAUCCCAUAAGUCUUCGAUGUAAACGUAGUCUUCGUCUUCUUCCUCUUGGAUCCUCUUGAUUCUCUUGCUCUCCAGCACCCGAGUGUACCUGCGGAUGUUGGUUUCGGGGGUGUUUACGGUUUCAAGUGGGGCCUCUCCGGGUCGGGUGUAAGUGAGCGUUUCGGAAUCGGAUUCCUCGAUGUAGUCGUCAGAGGAAGAAGAGGAGUAGUCAGAGUCGGAGUCGGAGUCUGGGUAUUGCUGUUGCGACUCAGUAAGUUGUUGUGCUUGUUCUUCUUCUUCAUCAUCCUCUUCUGGGUCUUGUGACUCAGUGAGUUGUUGUUCCUCUUCGUUCGACAUUGCUUUGCAGUAGAAAGAAGGGAGAGGUUGAAGAAGAUAAGGUAGAGAAUGUUAAGAAGAAAAGGAUCGUUAGGAUUGAAGACAGCGGUUUAUCAUUUCAAAAGGGUUUUGGGCGUUUUGGCAUUUUCCAUGUCUUUUAAGUGAUUUUUGUGGUGUACCUACCUUUGCUUUCUAUUUUCAUUUUGGUAAGUAUAGACAAAUGAUGUUAUCUUUUUUCAUGUGAAUUUGGUAGAUAAUAAUAUUUUACACAUUUUAUUAAUUUGGUUCUAUUUUUAGAAAAUUUAAUUUUAAAUUUUAUACAUUCUCUUAAUUUUAUCUUAAUUUUAAAUUUUUAAAAAUUCAAAAAAUUAAAAAUUAUUAAAUGUCUGAAAAAAAUACAUAGAAAUUAAAAUUUAGCGGGUGAAACAAAAACAUGAAAUGGAUCGAAACAAGGGUACUAUUUCAAGGAAUGAGGCACAAACAAUUUCAUGGUUCUAGACAAGAUUCUCCACAUCUUUUUCUUAGGUUAUUAAAUGUUAAGUUUUUGGGUUGAACUUAAACAGUUAAACUUUCAUAACGCAUCAUUCAUUGCUUGUGGGCUCAUUUGCUAAACUUUUAGACUAGAAUUAUUGAAGAAUCAUAUUUGACACUCUUUUGAUGAACAUACAUUUAUUUAUAUAUAUUUAUAUGUUUAAUUAUUGGAUUUAAAUUGUUAGACUAUCCAAUAGGAACCUCCAUUAUUGGAUUUAAAUUGCUAGCUGGGUAUAUUUAUGUUGACUGCACUGACAGUAGAAAGCAAAUUUCUAUCUCCAUAUCAACUAUAAAGACUAAGCAUAUCUUUGCUUGAAGUUAUUGUACACUUCUCUAGAGGUCACUAUGGUGUUAAAAAAAGUGUUGCUAAACAUUUCAAAGAAUAAUAUAUUGUACCUACGCACAUGAUUAUGAGCCUCCAAGUGUUAGAUGUCAUGUUGAUUCUUCAAAAGUGCAGAAAUGAUUUAAUCAUUAGUAUUCGUUAUAUUUAGACCGCAAUAUCUGGUGAGGAGUCUUUGUACCUAAGAACAUGAUUAUGAACGUCCAGAUGCCAUGUCGGUUCUUCAAGAUUGGAGAAGUGAUGGAGUUUUAUGGUGGUUUAAACAAAUAUUCUUGACUUGAAAUGCAAGGGAAUUUUACCUUUAAACAUCAAUCUUGGGAUUGCUCCAUUUACCAUGUUUACUUGAUAAAAAAAUAAAACCAGUUCUCAUGAUUCAUAUUCGAUUGUUAAUGUUCAAAUUUUGAUACUAAUCAAAUUCAAGCUCAAAUAUUAAAGCUCGUGAUAGCUCAACUUGCUGUAAAUCACAAAGUAGAAUUCAAAUUUGAUUUCCAAUAUUCAAAAAAUUUUCAAGCAAAACCCAAAUAUCUUCCAAGAGUAUAAAAUUUUCCCAUUUACACUCCUAGUCACAGCACUCCCAAUGUGAAAUUUUAAAUGAAAAUAAAACCAAUAGGACCAAAAGUAUUGAAGUUGAUCAUUCACCCCAAAUCCCAAUUGCCUGAAUGAAACUUUCGUUGAUCCUUCAACUUUCAUAUAAGAAUCAAAGCAUCCAAGAAACAUUCCAGAUGAGAUUUUGCUCAUCGUCUAAGCUUUUUCUUUGUAUAGGAAAAAAUGUGCCAAAGCUCAAAAUGAUUUUUCAAUGUCUAACUUUGACGUUAUUUUUCUCUGUUUUUAAAAAAUAAAAGCUAAGUGUAUACUUCAAAUUAAGAUUGGCCAAAAAACCAAUCAAAUGCAACCUCAACAAAGACUGACCCUCGUAAGUGCAAUCACUCAAGUUCCUACAAUGAGGCUCCAUGCCUUUUAGUAUCUGGGUAUGAUUCCAAAUAACAAACCGGAAUAUGCAAAGAUAAGAUGUCUGAAUAUUUCUUCGGUGCAACAUGCAGCUCAGAACGGUUAAGGUUUCCAGGUCGUCUUACAUGGCUUCUGGUAGUAGUUGAAGGGCAUGAUAAGAUCUUGCAUAAGGAGUGUAACUGAGACUUCUUUCCUCUAGAUUGGUUUUGUGGUUGAAACUUCUGAUGGUCUUGCUUGAAUGCCCUCAACCUUCCUUUGUGGCCUAGCACCAAAGGGAAACUGACCGAAUCAAUUAUUUUCAAUGGAUCGCUGGCGCUUUCCACACUUGACGGAGGAUGGGAUUUUAGUGGUAAUCUACGUUGUUUCAGUGCUAAAAUUGAUUCUCGCAAUGUAGAUGGAACCUGUAAAGCAAAAGAUAGUAACCAUUGAAAUCUGAAAUAUAAAAGCAAUGCAACUUUCAAAUGACCACCCAUUCAAUUAGCAUAAAGAAUUGUGAAACUAAACAGAAUAGACAUAAAUGGUCAUUUCGGUUACAAUCUGAUAUCGGAAUAAAGGCUUUUCAGACAAAUUCCCCAUUAGUCAAAGAGCAAAGGCUUCACCUUCAUAGACCAUUUUUUCCUCCACAUGCAAAUCACAGAAUUAGAACAGAAAUGAGAACAAAACAUGGAAAUAAAAUUGAAUUGUAUAAGAAUUUACCACUGAAACAAGGCUGCAAGAAGCAAACAACAAUGAAGAUGAAGAGAAUGGAGGCUCCCUAGGCUUCUUUUCCUUCUGAUUGCCAGCAACAGAUCCAAAACUGGAAGGUGUAACAUCAUCAUCAUCAUCCUCUUCCUCUUCCUCUUCCUCUCCGUCUUCCUCUUCAUCCACAACUUUGUCAAAAUCAUCUUUGGGAAUGGCUUUGUCCUCUAGGUUAGCCACCACAGAAGUAUCUUCAUCCUCCAGCAAUCCCAUUUCCAUCUUCUUCUCCUCCUCUUUUUCUUUCUUCUUUAGUUCUUCAUCCAUGUCCUCAAUGGCCUCUUCUAAACACAGUUCAGCCUCUAUAAGAUCAAGUUCCUUUUCAAUAAGCUUCAUCUUCAACUCACCAGCCUUCUUCUUCUCUUCAGUCCACUUUUCUAGUUUAUCAAAUCCUGGCUUCAACGCAUUUUCUAUUGUCGUUAUUAGACGCUUCCAUAUAUUAUCCCUUUUUUGAAUCACUUCCCGUCCAUAGAACUCAUCAAAUCCAAGGGGCAGGAACUUAGCCUUCUUUGGAUCAAUCUCUUCACCUUCUUUCACAG